AAAAUGGCCCUUUUCAGGGCCAAUUCAAUUUAAAUUUCUUUUUAAU
rfam:Culex pipiens quinquefasciatus supercont3.1192 genomic scaffold, whole genome shotgun sequence.